GACGAACGCUGGCGGCGUGCCUAAUACAUGCAAGUAGAACGCACAGUUUAUACCGUAGCUUGCUCCACCAUAGACUGUGAGUUGCGAACGGGUGAGUAACGCGUAGGUAACCUGCCUGGUAGCGGGGGAUAACUAUUGGAAACGAUAGCUAAUACCGCAUAAUAUUGAUUAUUGCAUGAUAAUUAAUUGAAAGGUGCAAUUGCACCACUACCAGAUGGACCUGCGUUGUAUUAGCUAGUAGGUGAGGUAACGGCUCACCUAGGCGACGAUACAUAGCCGACCUGAGAGGGUGAUCGGCCACACUGGGACUGAGACACGGCCCAGACUCCUACGGGAGGCAGCAGUAGGGAAUCUUCGGCAAUGGACGAAAGUCUGACCGAGCAACGCCGCGUGAGGGAAGAAGGUUUUCGGAUCGUAAAGCUCUGUUGUAAGAGAAGAACGGGUGUGAGAGUGGAAAGUUCACACUGUGACGGUAUCUUACCAGAAAGGGACGGCUAACUACGUG
rnacentral:rRNA from 1 species